GCCAGGCAUGGUGGGCACAUGCCUACAGUCCCAGCUACUUGGGAGGCUGAGGUGGGAGGAUUGCUUGAGCCCAGGAGUUCAAGACUGUAGUGUGUAAUGAUCAUGCCUGUGAAUAGCCACUGCACUAUAGCCUGGGCAACACAGUGAGAACCCAUCUCUA
ensembl:misc_RNA Metazoa_SRP Metazoan signal recognition particle RNA